rnacentral:rRNA from 1 species
AACGAACGCUGGCGGCAUGCCUAACACAUGCAAGUCGAACGAGACCUUCGGGUCUAGUGGCGCACGGGUGCGUAACGCGUGGGAACCUGCCCUUAGGUUCGGAAUACCUCCCCGAAAGGGGUGCUAAUGCCGGAUAAUUUCUUCUGACCAAAGAUUUAUCGCCUUUGGAUGGGCCCGAGUUCGAUUAGCUUGUUGGUAGGGUAAAAGCCUACCACGGCGAGGAUCCAUAGCUGGUCUGAGAGGAUGAUCAGCGACACUGGGACUGAGACACGGCCCAGACUCCUACGCGAGGCAGCAGAGGGGAAUACUGGAAAAGGGGCGAAAGCCUGAACCAGCAAGGCCGCGUGAGUGAUGAAGGCCUUAGGGAUGUAAAGCUCGUUUACACGGGACGAUAAUGACAGUACCGGGAGAAUAAGCUCCGGCUAACUCCGUG